UCUACGGGAGGCAGCAGUGAGGAAUAUUGGUCAAUGGGCGCGAGCCUGAACCAGCCAAGUAGCGUGAAGGAUGACUGCCCUACGGGUUGUAACCUUCUUUUAUAAAGGAAUAAAGUGAGGCACGUGUGCCUUUUUGUAUGUACUUUAUGAUUAAGGAUCGGCUAACUCCGUGCCAGCAGCCGCGGGAAUACGGAGGAUCCGAGCGUUAUCCGGAUUUAUUGGGUUUAAAGGGUGAGUAUCUGGGUUGUUAAGUCAGUUGUGAAAGUUUGCGGCUCAACCGUAAAAUUGCAAUUGAUACUGGCAGUCUUGAGGACAGUUGAGGUAGGCGGAAUUCGUGGUGUAGCGGUGAAAUGCUUAGAUAUCACGAAGAACUCCGAUUGCGAAGGCAGCUUACUAAACUGCCACUGACAUUGAUGCUCGAAAGUGUGGGUAUCAAACAGGAUUAGAUACCCCAGUAGUC
rnacentral:rRNA from 1 species